rnacentral:misc_RNA from 1 species
GAUGAAGAACGCAGCGAAAUGCGAUACGUAAUGUGAAUUGCAAAUUCAGUGAAUCAUCGAGUCUUUGAACGCACAUUGCGCCCCCUGGUAUUCCGGGGGGCAUGCCUGUCCGAGCGUCAUUGCUGCCCUCAAGCACGGCUUGUGUGUUGGGCCCCGUCCUCCGAUCCCGGGGGACGGGCCCGAAAGGCAGCGGCGGCACCGCGUCCGGUCCUCGAGCGUAUGGGGCUUUGUCACCCGCUCUGUAGGCCCGGCCGGCGCUUGCCGAUCAACCCAAAUUUUUUAUCCAGGUUGACCUCGGAUCAGGUAGGGAUACCCGCUGAACUUAAGCAUAUCAAUAACGGAGGA